UUUGGACAAGGGGGAAGACUGCGAGGGUUCAGGGUGCCAUUUGGAAUAUUUCAUAGAAAAAUGGAAACCAAACCUGCAAAAUCGUGUCGUUUGUCAUAUCCAAGUUCACCACAGGUGUGCUGCGUCUGAGCCACUUCUGCAGAUUUUCCCUGUGAAAAUGUUAUCGGCCAUCUCGCCUGUACCGUUGACUCGUGGGGAGUGGCAGUGGUCAAAGGUGUGGUUAACGACUUAGCUCGUCACCCCAAGCUCUUGGUCACACACUCCUCAAAGUGGCAUCGCCUGAAGGGCACUGAUAACACGCAUCCUGCGCUUCUGUUGGUUGAUGUCCAGAGAACCGGCAAUCUCACACGGAAGAAUCUGUACAUUAGAGGAAAAGGAGCUGUGGUUCUUCGCCCUCGACUAGCCAAGCAGAACAACUGGGGGUUACGACAGACUGCGAAGGGGCCCAAGGAUGGAUUCCAAAGGGGUUAAUGCCACAAC